rnacentral:rRNA from 1 species
AUAUUGGCCAGAGACCGAUAGCGCACAAGUAGAGUGAUCGAAAGAUGAAAAGCACUUUGGAAAGAGAGUUAAAAAGCACGUGAAAUUGUUAAAAGGGAAGGGAUUGCAACCAGACUUGCUCGCGGUGUUCCGCCGGUCUUCUGACCGGUCUACUCGCCGCGUUGCAGGCCAGCAUCGUCUGGUGCCGCUGGAUAAGACUUGAGGAAUGUAGCUCCCUCAGGAGUGUUAUAGCCUCUUGUGAUGCAGCGAGCGCCGGGCGAGGUCCGCGCUUCGGCUAGGAUGCUGGCAUAAUGGUCGUAAUCCGCCCGUCUUGAAACACGGACC